CCCCUCAGCCCUCCCACACUGAGUCGGGUCAGGUGUAUAGUUCAGUUGAAUACCUCCCAAGUGUCUCUAUUAGGAGGACAGUCUCUCUCUUUUCCCCUAAUCACUCUGUCCCUCUUUUCAUUCCUAAGAGCUCAAUGUUACUGGUGUGUCUGAAUGUAUAACAGAGCUCCACAGCAAUAAUACUCCCAGUAAUGUGUCUGAAUGUAUAACAGAGCCCCACAGCAAUAAUACUCCCAGUAAUGUGUCUGAAUGUAUAACAGAGCCCCACAGCAAUAAUACUCCCAGUAAUGUGUCUGAAUGUAUAACAGAGCCCCACAGCAAUAAUACUCCCAGUAAUGUGUCUGAGUGUAUAACAGAGCUCCAUAGCAAUAAUACUCCCAGUAAUGUGUCUGAGUGUAUAACAGAGCUCCACAGCAAUAAUACUCCCAGUAAUGUGUCUGAGUGUAUAACAGAGCUCCACAG